CAGAAAAAAAACCAGACAUCUAGUUUUUACACCCUCCCCAAAAAAGUAUCUGUAUCUUUAAAUCUGUUCAGAGAUUCUGCAAGAAUUCACAAUCACAAACAGGAGAAGACAGCUGGGUUUAUUUACUGGGAGACAAAUAGCUGGACAGAAUGCCUUAAUGCAAAUAAAAGCAAGAUAACUGUUUCUACUGUUUUGCUUCUUUCUGUUCAUGAGCACAAAAGUACAAACUAUCAACAGGCAAGAGAAGGUCACCCCACCAUACAAACUAUUGUUUUAGUGACUACCUUAAUCUCCCACAUUCUUGCACUAAAUCCUCUAUACCUGCUCAAAAUGAUGACAGAAGUAAAUUAAGUGUAUUUACCUCCCAAAAGUGAACUGCAACCUGGUUUAUCUCCCUUAAUUGGGCAGAAGGGGCCAUUGCACCCAUACUGAGAACAAAUCCAUUACACAAUACUGCAAGGAAAUGUCCUAAGCAAGGAAUUCACUUGUCAUGUUUUCCAAGUUGCAAUAAAUUUGAUCUUUCUGUGCAUCAUUUCCAGCCUUAUAUUGGAGGAAUAAAGGUCCAGAGGGAUCAGAAAUUCAGUAUUAGAAGUGGUUAGCAAUAACACCUGGAAUACUGAAACUGUCUAAAGUGAGUAUGAGAGAUUUGGAGCACUUCCUGGAACUUAGUGAUACGCUUUAACCAUCAGUUAAACAUUUAAAAGUUUCUGCACCUCAUGUUUUUUUGAAGUACUAAAACUUGGUAGAAAGGGAGGUCCAUGUAAGGCCUCUUUCAAUCAAAAAUAAGACUGGCUGGCUUCUUAUGGCUACAUUUGGAGCUUCGUAUCCUGUUUUGGGCCCCAACAAGUCUGACAAACUGGAACACAUCCAGGAGAUACCACCAAGACUGUCAGAGACUGGAGUAGGCAGCGUCCAAAGAGAGGGUGCAGGAAUGAGGUUUGUUCAGCCUGGAGAACUAAAACCAAAGGGAGAGCCUUCUGCUACUUGCAGUUAUGCUGAAGGGUUCUUACACAGAGGACUGAGUCAGACUCUUCAAAGACCCAUUCUUUGAGGAGCAAUGGGUUCAAGUCACGGCAAGAGAAAUUUCAAC